AGCUGUCCGGGUCAUCUGCGCAUGUGUGGUGUUGCUCCAUACGCCGUCUGCGCAUGUGCUGCAAUCACCUGGAUGUCGGGCCGCCGGUAAACAUACUCAGUGACCGAGGAUGGCUGACCGGUAGGCAGGUGCACCAUCAUCUCCAAGAUCUAGAAGAAACGAAAGUAAUUUGAAGGACCAUUGGCUGCAGGAGCAAUGUCACCAACAGGAGAGGAGUUGUUGGUUGAAUCUAUGCAACAGUGUUUAGAGAUAAGAGAAGAUCCAAGGGAACAGAGAAUGACUCGUGCAGCCCAUAAAUGUAGAGAAAAAGAACAACAAAAGGGUGAAGAAUGCUAAGAUAUUCCCCAGA